UGUGAAGGUUGAUGCUGUGAAUGCGCUCGGUCAUCCCCUUGCAACUGAUGUCACCUGCAGCAUGUCAACGCAGACACAAAACAGGGCAUGGGUCAGAUCUAGCUGGCUGCAUUCCUAACACCUAGGUUUCAGAGUAAAAAUAUAGAGUCAGCCUGUGAUGGCAUUCUCUCGAAACAUGGGAGGAAUUGCAGUAAUGAAAGUCAUCACGUAUUCUAAGUGACUGUUCUGCGAGAGCACAACACAGACGGGCUAAAGCAGGGUGAGAAGCAAAAGUGCUCAGGAGUUAAGAGAAGCAAACGUCCGAAAUUAUCUCCACGCAUUACCAAAAACCGUGGGCACCACGGCACGGGGAAAACUUACCAGGUACAAUGAGCCAGUGACUGUUACUGAAUUUCUUAAGAUUACACUUUUCCCGACUACUGCAGACUGCUUCAGAAUAGAAGAGGACAACUCUCAAGCCAUCAAGCCGACUGACUUUCAAAAAAAUAAAAGAUGCAUUUCUUUACUUGUUUGUCAUUGCUGUGGCUACACUACACCAUGAGCUCCUUGAAGCUAAGGGUUGAGCAAGCUGCACUUAGCCUAUAGAAGCCCAUCAAGCCUGGACGCUAUGGUCUAUUUAUUGAGACCAACCUAUGGGACUUUGGCUUAUCGUGUUUUCUUACAAUUUAUCAUUUCUCUACCUGGUCUGAUGUCCUCACAUCAAUUUAAGAUAUUUUAGUGAUUAAACACAUUUUAUUUUCUCAAUCUUAUUUUUUUUAACCUU